GACGAACGCUGGCGGCGUGCUUAACACAUGCCAGUCGAACGGAAAGGCCCUGCUUUUGUGGGGUGCUCGAGUGGCGAACGGGUGAGUAACACGUGAGUAAUCUGCCCUUGACUUUGGGAUAACUUCAGGAAACUGGGGCUAAUACCGGAUAGGAGCUCCUGUUGCAUGGUGGGGGCUGGAAAGUUUCGGCGGUUGGGGAUGGACUCGCGGCUUAUCAGCUUGGUGGUGGGGUAGUGGCUUACCAAGGCUUUGACGGGUAGCCGGCCUGAGAGGGUGACCGGCCACAUUAGAACUGAGAUGCGGCCCAGACUCCUACGGGAGGCAGCGGUGGAGAAUAUUGCACAAUGGGCGGAAGCCUGAUGCAGCAACGCCGCGUGCGGGAUGACGGCCUUCGGGUUGUAAUCCGCUUUCGCCUGUGACGAAGCGUGAGUGACGGUAAUGGGUAAAGAAGCACCGGCUAACUACGUG
rnacentral:rRNA from 1 species